UACGGGGGGAGCAAGCGUUGUUCGGAUUUACUGGGCGUAAAGGGCGCGUAGGCGGUCAGCACAAGUCAGUUGUGAAAUCUCCGGGCUUAACUCGGAAAGGUCAACUGAUACUGUGCGACUAGAGUGCAGAAGGGGCAACUGGAAUUCUCGGUGUAGCGGUGAAAUGCGUAGAUAUCGAGAGGAACACCUGCGGCGAAGGCGGGUUGCUGGGCUGACACUGACGCUGAGGCGCGAAAGCCAGGUGAGCGAACGGG
rnacentral:rRNA from 1 species